rnacentral:rRNA from 1 species
UCUCUGCCCAAUGAAAUUUCAAUGGCCGCAGUAUUCUAACUGUGCAAAGGUAGCAUAAUCAUUUGUUUUUUAAUUGAAAACUUGAAUGAAAGAGUUGACGUAAAAUAAACUUUUUUUUAAAAAAAUUAAAUUGACAUCAAAAUUAAAAGGUUUUAAUAAAAUAAAGGGACGAUAAGACCCUGUGAAAUUUAACUUUAUUAAAAUUAUUUAAAUAUAAAUUAUUAUAUACAGUUUAACUGGGGCGGUUGAUACAAAAAUCUUUUUUUUUAAAAAAACACAAAUGUUAACAUAUAGAACUAAAAUUUUCAAAUUGAACAAAUUACUCCAGGGAUAACAGCACAAUUUCUUUGUAUAGACCAUAUAGAUAAAGAAGUUUGUGACCUCGAUGUUGAAUUGAAAAUACAUAUUUAAGCAAAAAUUUAUAAUGCUAGUCUGUUCGACUAUUAAACUUUC